GGUCAACGUAAAUCCUGAAAGCGUCGUUAUUCCUGCUCGAGGUUGCGUUGUCUAUGUUGAUGUUCAGGCAGAGGAAUCAUCUUCAACAAUCUUUACACCGGCGAUUAUCACCAUUCUUGCAGCAUUAGUGCUGCAGCUGGUCUACCAUUAACCGCAUGGUAAAUUGCACACAAACUGUAAACAGCGGAGAAGCCUUGGUAAUUACGUCAUAUAUCUUCAUCGUUCUCUAUGGAAUAGAAGAAAUGGAAACUGGAGCUAGAAGUCAAAUUUUGUAAAUACGUGUACCAUUUGUUAAAUAAGUUAUUUCUAUGUCCUUAAGUGUUUAUAGCCAGCAGAAUACCAAUGAUGUAACGGGUGUACUAAUUUGAUAUAGAGUAAAAUAAAGUUUUUGUAUACAAAAUU